UUCAGAAAGAGGAUAGAUUGCCGUAUGCCGGAACUGGAGUCUUGGCUUUCGAAAGAUCUUUUCCAUUACCUCUGCAGCAAGAAUGACAUCUUCUAAAGACUCAGGAUGGCCUCUAAUCUUCAUGGUCUAAUUCGCUGAUCCUCCAACCAGGAGGCCUCCCCAGGCCUGACAGAAGUGUUUGUAAAGUUUUUCCAUCCCCGAAACACCCAGAUCUUCAUGCGGGUUCUGCGAAGAAGUGGCAAGAACACAAACCCUGACGUCAGCAUCCUGCUCACUGUUCUUGGACUCUAACUCAGAUGAUCUGCAUCAGAUUCUCUGGAAAUGAGGCCACUUCUGCAUUGUUGACAAGUUCCAUGGAUUCUCACGCACGGUAAAGUUGAAGAAUCACUGUUCUCCACAAUUUUGUGUCUGUACCGGAGAAGUUGGCUCAGAGAUGAAGAAGUAACUGGAACAGAAUCAUCUGGCAAAAUCAACUGAGAAAAAUGGAAAAAAGUACCACCUGGUUUCCUUACUGGCAAUAUUUUUAGUGGCAAUAAUACUCAAAUAAUGUGGAUCUCAAUCAAGGUAAUAAACAGAUCCAUCACCU